GGAGUUGUAGCUCAAUGGUAGAGCACUUGCCUAGCAUGUAAGAGGCACUGGGUUUGAACCUCAGCAUCACAU
rnacentral:tRNA from 1 species